GUAGUUUCAAGUCUCUUUGUUACUUCUCCUCUGUUUUUAUAAAUCUCUUUGCUUCAAAAAUUGAAGGCUCUUGCUUCUUGGUUUUCCAGUUGACUGUGAGUCUCUUGCGGAAGAGUUUUCGUUGGUUUUCUCUUUUAUCCAGGUGCAUAUUUUGGAAGAUGGAUUCGGGCGAAGCCUCUGUUCCGAGGAGGCGGACCAGACAACAAUGGGAUAAAUACUUUCUUGAAUUGUACGAGAAAAAGAAGGGGUUGAGUCAAAGUGGUAAUCCUCCUAAGAUUUCUUGAAUGAAAACAAAAGAUGAAAAAAAUGGACAAAGGAAAAAACAGUGUGAACGAUAGGAAAAGGGUGGAAAUGUCUGACAUCAUUAUCAUUAAGUAGGCCGAGGCAGUAGCAUAAGAGAAGGGCUUUUCAUACUCCUUAGUUUCUUGUAGUAGUAGUUGUAAUGGUGUUGAGAUAUAGCAGUUGUAAUGGUGAGUUGGGAUAAAUUUGUGCCGAACAGCGUAAUGGUGAGUUGGGAUAAAUUUGUGCCGAACUCGCUGUAUUCCAUCGGAUACCUGUUGCUACUUGCACCAUACAUAUAUCAUGUAAUUGACAAAACUUGUGUA